CCUACGGGAGGCAGCAGUGAGGAAUAUUGGUCAAUGGACGAGAGUCUGAACCAGCCAAGUAGCGUGAAGGAUGACUGCCCUAUGGGUUGUAAACUUCUUUUAUAUGGGAAUAAAAUGUUCCACGUGUGGGAUUUUGUAUGUACCAUAUAAAUAAGGAUCGGCUAACUCCGUGCCAGCAGCCGCGGUAAUACGGAGGAUCCGAGCGUUAUCCGGAUUUAUUGGGUUUAAAGGGAGCGUAGGUGGAUUGUUAAGUCAGUUGUGAAAGUUUGCGGCUCAACCGUAAAAUUGCAGUUGAAACUGGCAGUCUUGAGUACAGUAGAGGUGGGCGGAAUUCGUGGUGUAGCGGUGAAAUGCUUAGAUAUCACGAAGAACUCCGAUUGCGAAGGCAGUUCACUGGACUGCAACUGACACUGAGGCUCGAAAGUGUGGGUAUCAAACAGGAUUAGAUACCCGAGUAGUC
rnacentral:rRNA from 1 species